AUUAAUUGUGGUCUCACAGAUGAAGGUUGUGCUGCUUUGGCUUCAGCUCUGAAAUCAAACCCUGAACACCUGAGAUAUCUGUAUCUGUCUGAGAAUAAACUAUCAAAAUCCACAGUGAAACUGUUCUCUGAUUUGAAGGACGACCCACUGAAUAAACUGGAAACAUUACACACUUGAUUCUCAGUGUUUAGUUUGCUCAGGAUCUGCUGAUGGUGAAUAAGGAGAAACGUCACAGACACACAAUCAACACACACUGAAGACACACAGACUCACACUGACUGCACAACACUGGCUUGUUUUUAUAUGCAAUAACCAGGAAAAUGAAAAUGACGUCAUUAUAUUGUUCCAGAUCGUCCUGAUAUUGAUUAUAGUGGAAAAGAGGAUUGGAAAAUGACAAAACUAAAACACUCCUAUUGUAAUCAGUAAGUCAUGUUGACAUUGUGUAAAUAUGAAAUGUGUUGUGCAGCACAGACAGCUUUGUUCAUUAUGCUGGAACAGUAAGAUUUUUUUAUUAUUACAUUUUUGUCUUCAGUAUAAACUUGAGAAAUCAACAGAAGAGAUGUUGUGACUGAAAUGUGUCAGCAGAGGUCGACAAAGAGAACAUAAAUCAUUUCACUGAGCAUUUAAUUCUCUACAUUAUUUUAAAUUAAUGAUCUGUAAUUAUUUAAAUGUAAAUUGUUUAACAUGCUUAUCCAACAUUAAGUGUCUGUUUAACAAUUUCCUACUUUAAAUAGUUUUUCUGAACAAGUAUUUCUUCUGUGCAUUUCUCUUGAUGCCAAACAUUUCUGAAGCCCACAACAAAAGCAGAGUAUGUCAAGCCGUUUGACAUUAAAUCCAUAACCAGUA